UGUUAUCAGUCGAUAAGAUGUAAUUAAGCAAGAAAUACAAAUAACAAUGGUGGCAUGCUUGAUAUCUGUAGUGCAAAUUUUGAAGUCAUUUAUCUCUAUUUCUUGAGAGUAGAUCUCAAAAAAAAAAUCUUGACAAUACAAACGGAAGUGAUUAUGGGAGUAUUUCAAUUACCCAGAUAUCAUACGAACCCGCAUAUCCCCUUCUAAUCCUAAUUUAGCUGUCAAGACCAUGGCUCAAAGUUCUAUUAUUUAUUGUUGUUCUUAUCUCCAAGUCCUUUUCGAACCAGCCUCCUUGCCAAAAUUAAGCAAUGGUUAGACUCUAGAAAUUCCGUUGUGUGGGAGCUUUCAGCACUGGGCACACCCUCCUUACCUCUCUAUGUCCUGUAGUUUCAAACAUCCCAUGUAAAAUCCCUUUUUUUUCCUUGGUAAAUGCUGACAAUUAAGCCCAAACAACAAUUAUCAUAAUCUUGCUAGAGGCCAUGCCUUACUUCAGAUUAUCUGGUAGCCAAUAAUUCAUAUUAAAUAACAAACAUUCUAUAUAACUUCUAACCUAGAUCGACAGAAUUGGAACCUAGUUAAGAAAUCAAGUGCAUUACAUCAGAAUUAGACAUCCGGAAAAAUGAAAACUUAC
rnacentral:lncRNA from 1 species